GGGGGCGACUGGGCUCGACCGGGCGAGAAGACGGGAGGGCCGCGUGCCGAGGUUGUCAGUUGGCCUCGUUAAACAACUGACACAAAACCUUAUAUGCCAACUCUGAGUUGCGCAUGGCUGCGUAAAUAACGCAGCCCGUCCGACUGGAGACGCCUGCUAUGCGGUUCGGACGUCGCCAGCAGGCUGGCCCCCCGGGCGUUGUCCGGCCGUCGGGAGGCGAGAACACAGCUGGAUUGGCCAAUCCCGGAGCCUGUCGAUCGGCGCCGGGGGCGGCGAGAAACAAAUGAUCAGACUACGCACGUAGAGACCCUCUCCGAACCGUCGCGGGACGGGGGUUCGAUUCCCCCCGCCUCCAAUU
rnacentral:tmRNA from 1 species